rnacentral:rRNA from 1 species
UACGAAGGUGGCAAGCGUUACUCGGAAUUACUAGGCGUAAAGGGCAGGUAGGCGGUUUGGUUAGUCUGUUGUGAAAGCUCCUCGCUCAACGGGGAGAGGUCAACAGAUACUGCCAGACUUGAGUAUGGGAGAGGGUACUGGAAUUCCCGGUGCAGCGGUGAAAUGCGCAGAGAUCGGGAGGAACACCAAUGGCGAAAGCAGGUACCUGGACCAUUACUGACGCUCAGCUGCGAAAGCUAGGGGAGCAAACAGG